GUGGCAGUCUUCCUCUCAAGGGUUGCCUGUACUCAGCGCGUCACACUGAAGCUGAGACAGGAGAACUAGGAACGCUCCCAUCCUUUUAGCUGCGGCUGGUUCCGCAAGCUGGGCUCCACGACGGCCCUGGUGAGGAUGCGUGAACUUGCGCUUUGUCCAGAGACGCAGCCGACUGUGAACAGACCCUUGGAGCUCCAUGUGGACCCGUGAGAAGCCUGUUUUCUGACUGUCAGCUCCCGCCAGAGCUGAAGACGCACCUGGUCUUUGCAGCGCCGGCCGGCCGGCCCCUCAGAACGUGAAGCUGGUGUGGGUUUCCCGCACCCAGAUGCGUCUCCUGGAGCCGGGCCCUUCCAGCCUCACGCGUGAUCUUUGGAGCAUCAGAGGGGCGGGCUGUAAAAGUGCCCCAGCUCCACGUCUGAGGGGGCGGCUGAGACCCCGGGCACUCGGCCCUCCACACUUGAGCACUAGCGCCAGAUCCAGGUCCUCUGGAGUCACCAGGCUCCCCCGCAGGAGCUGCGCUUUCCCCAGAGUCCAGGAACGUCCAGGCCUGGGCCGGGAGCUGAGAGCAAGGGACCCAGGGGGCGGGGCGAUCCCGGAUCCGGAGGAGCUGCUGGGCUGCAGCGCCCGCCAGGGCCAGGUGUCUGCCUGCAACCCCGUCUCCACUGGGGCUGUUCCCCGGGGGCCUGUGCUGUCCACUCUCUGCUCUGCAAGCUCAAGCCCCGUCACUGCCCAGCAGACGAGGAAGGUUCCUGAGAGCCUCCACCACCAGACUGCAGCAGCCUCGUCUGCAGACCAGCUUCUCUGAGCAGUCCGGUCGGUGUAUCACCACUGAAGCAGUGAAGGACCCCCUGGACAGCCGGGUGCCCAUAGGGCCCGGGAGGUCAUCUGCCCGGGAAUCCCAGCCGUACCUCGGGAGUCUGGGCAUGAGCCAGUGGGAGGGCCCAUAGCCACCAAGCAGAGCCCCGACUUCCUGGGGGCCCACCCCCCACCUCCACUUGGAGCUGCAGCCAAACCCAGCCCAGCCCUGCCAGGGGCCCAGCGCCCAGGCAGUGGUCCUCCCGUCAACAGGACGUGCGUCUGGCCCCAGAACUGGCCCAGCGUCCCUCACUAGAGACAUGCAGCUCUCCUGUGGACCCCCGAGAGCCACACGGACGGCCAGCCUGCGUCCGCGAGGGCGGAUUCUGAACUGGGAAGAAAUCCCUUCCUUUGAUGAGGACACGGCCCCCCUCCGCCCUCCACAGCAGGGAGGCUCCCAAUGAGGAGAGAACCCCCCACCGCCACCCCCGCAGCGGUCACAGCCACACCUGGGGACCUUCUCUGAGUCGCCCUGCGCUGUGGCCGCCAGGGGCCAGGAACCCUCCACAGGCUGCUUGGACUAAGGAAAUGCCGCCGAGGGCUGGGAUCACUGCAGGGCGUGUUCUGGGCUAUUUUAAACUGAAUGGUGGGUACUUUCUAUAGAAGGAACAGGCGUUGACUCUUCUCUUGCUCCGUGGUUUCUGCCACUAAUGGUGAAAUCUGUCUUCAAAAAUCUAAGAAAAAAAUCUAAUAAAACUCAGUAAUAAAG